rnacentral:rRNA from 1 species
GACGAACGCUGGCGGCGUGCUUAACACAUGCAAGUCGAACGGAAAGGCCCUGCUUGCAGGGUACUCGAGUGGCGAACGGGUGAGUAACACGUGGGUGAUCUGCCCUGCACUUCGGGAUAAGCCUGGGAAACUGGGUCUAAUACCGGAUAGGAGCCAUUUUUAGUGUGAUGGUUGGAAAGUUUUUUCGGUGUAGGAUGAGCUCGCGGCCUAUCAGCUUGUUGGUGGGGUAAUGGCCUACCAAGGCGGCGACGGGUAGCCGGCCUGAGAGGGUGGACGGCCACAUUGAGACUGAGGUGCGGCACAGGCGGGUACGGGAGGCAGAAGUGGGGAAGAUUGCACAAUGGGCGCAGGGCUGGUGCAGAGGGGCUGCGGGGGGGAAGACGGCCUUCGUGUUGUAGACUCCUUUCGCUAGGGACGAAGCUUUUUGUGACGGUACCUAGAUAAGAAGCACCGGCUAACUACGUG